rnacentral:lncRNA from 1 species
GCUGGCGGUAAACGUACUGGUGUAUUUUCUGUUGAGGGGCAGUCAUGUUUCUCCAGUAUUACCUCAACUAGCAGGGCGAUCGCGUCUAUACUCUAAAGAAAUUUGACCCCAUGGGACAACAGACUUGCUCUGCCCAUCCUGCUCGGUUCUCCCCAGAUGACAAAUACUCAAGACACCGAAUCACCAUCAAGAAACGCUUCAAGGUGCUCAUGACCCAGCAACCGCGACCUGUCCUCUGAGGGCUUGUUAAUCUCUUGUGUUACUCGUCCCCCGGCCGAUUAUCAGUAACCAAACACUUCAUUCCGUGAGCCUGGAAGCCUUCCCAUGCUGUUUAGAAUCCCCUCUCACUCACUAAAGUCUGUAGUGAUGGGCAUCGCCCGUAAAAGGAACGACUUUUUUUCCAUGUUUUGAUUUACUGCCCGGUUAUUAAAGAUACAAUGACUUGAAAAAAAAAAA